UCUCUGGUGGUCCAGUGGCUAAGACUCUGCACUCAUAAUGCAGGGGUCCUGGGUUCAAUCCCUGGUCAGGGAA
rnacentral:tRNA from 1 species